rnacentral:rRNA from 1 species
CCCUUAGAUGUUCUGGGCUGCACGCGCGCUACACUGAUACACUCAACGAGUUCCUGACUUGAAAUAGUCAGGUAAUCAUUUGAGCGUGUAUCGUGAUGGGGAUAGAAUAUUGUAAUUAUUGCUCUUCAACGAGGAAUUUCUAGUAAGCGCAAGUCAUCAGCUUGCGUUGAUUACGUCCCUGCCCUUUGUACACACCGCCCGUCGCUCCUACCGAUUGAAUGGUCCGGUGAAGCGUUCGGACCGUGGCCUUUGGACGGUUCGCCGUCUGUUGGCUGCGGGAAGUUCGUUAAACCUUAUCAUUUAGAGGAAGGAGAAGUCGUAACA